rnacentral:rRNA from 1 species
CGGGACGGGUGAGUAAUGUCUGGGAAACUGCCCGAUGGAGGGGGAUAACUACUGGAAACGGUAGCUAAUACCGCAUGACGUCGCAAGACCAAAGAGGGGACCUUCGGGCCUCUUGCCAUCGGAUGUGCCCAGAUGGGAUUAGCUAGUAGGUGGGGUAACGGCUCACCUAGGCGACGAUCCCUGGCUGGUCUGAGAGGAUGACCAGCCACACUGGAACUGAGACACGGUCCAG